rnacentral:rRNA from 1 species
UACGGGGGGGGCAAGCGUUGUUCGGAAUUACUGGGCGUAAAGGGUUCGUAGGUGGCCAACUAAGUCAGACGUGAAAUCCCUCAGCUUAACUGGGGAACUGCGUCUGAGACUGGAUGGCUUGAGUGCAGGAGAGGAACGCGGAAUUCCCAGUGUAGCGGUGAAAUGCGUAGAUAUUGGGAGGAACACCAGUGGCGAAGGCGGCUACCUGGACCGGUUCUGACGCUGAUGCGCGAAAGCGUGGGUAGCAAACAGGGAUUACGAUACCGACG